AGCGAUCGUUGGCGGUAGGCCUAACACAUGCAAGUCGAACGAGAAACACACUUCGGUGUGUGGAAAGUGGCGGACGGGUGAGUAUAACAUGGGAAUCUGCCCUGAAGUGGGGGAUAACUGCUGGAAACAGCAGCUAAUACCGCAUAUGCUGAAAAGUGAAAGCUCCGGCGCUUCAGGAUGAGCCCAUGCUCCAUUAGCUUGUUGGUGAGGUAAAAGCUCACCAAGGCAACGAUGGAUAGCUGGUUUGAGAGGAUGAUCAGCCACACUGGGACUGAGACACGGCCCAGACUCCUACGGGAGGCAGCAGUGAGGAAUAUUGCACAAUGGGGGAAACCCUGAUGCAGCCAUACCGCGUGCGUGAAGAAGGCCCUAGGGUUGUAAAGCGCUUUCAGUAGGGAAGAUAAUGACGGUACCUACAGAAGAAGUCCCGGCUAACUCCG
rnacentral:rRNA from 1 species